rnacentral:rRNA from 1 species
UACGGGGGGGGUAAGCGUUGUUCGGAAUUACUGGGCGUAAAGGGCUCGUAGGCGGCCAACUAAGUCGGACGUGAAAUCCCUCAGCUUAACUGGGGAACUGCGUCCGAUACUGGAUGGCUUGGAUUCGGGAGAGGAAUGCGGAAUUCCAGGUGUAGCGGUGAAAUGCGUAGAUAUCUGGAGGAACACCGGUGGCGAAGGCGGCAUCCUGGACCAACACUGACACUGAGGAGCGAAAGCCAGGGGAGCAAACGGG